rnacentral:rRNA from 1 species
AUGGGAACGCGAAGAACCUUACCUACUCUUGACAUCCAGAGAACUUAGCAGAGAUGCUUUGGUGCCUUCGGGAACUCUGAGACAGGUGCUGCAUGGCUGUCGUCAGCUCGUGUUGUGAAAUGUUGGGUUAAGUCCCGCAACGAGCGCAACCCUUAUCCUUUGUUGCCAGCGGUUAGGCUGGGAACUCAAAGGAGACUGCCAGUGAUAAACUGGAGGAAGGUGGGGAUGACGUCAAGUCAUCAUGGCCCUUACGACCAGGGCUACACACGUGCUACAAUGGCAUAUACAAAGAGAAGCGACCUCGCGAGAGCAAGCGGACCUCAUAAAGUGCGUCGUAGUCCGGAUUGGAGUCUGCAACUCGACUCCAUGAAGUCGGAAUCGCUAGUAAUCGUAGAUCAGAAUGCUACGGUGAAUACGUUCCCGGGUCUUGUACACACCG